rnacentral:misc_RNA from 1 species
UUGCAACAUGAGGUGGGGCAUUUUUUGGUUGGUUACCUGGUCGGGGUCUUACCAAGAAGCUAUGAAGUACCUAGUCUACAAGAUAUAACACAGGACAAAUUUGCUCAAGGAAAUGUGCAGUUUCUUGGCUUUGAAUUUCUGAAAGAAGUUGAUAUUAAUACUAUAUCAAGCAAACGGUUUACCCAUGGCAAGCUAAAAAGCAAGGAAAAUAGGGCCAAAAUCUCAUCCCAGACUUUGAACAGGUUCUUGUGUGUGAUACUAGGAGGGUUAGCAGCAGAGCACCUGUUAUUUGGUUACUCCGAAUUACUUCACUCAGAUGUUCAAAAGUUGGACAGAGUGCUAAGGUGGUUAUGCUACAAUGAGAAUGAAGCCGACUCUCUGGUAAGAUGGGCUAUUCUUACCACUUUGUCACUAUUAAGUCAUCAUCACGAGGCUCGAUCAAGACUAG